UUUCGCCUCAGACACGGAGGUCUUAACUGCCUCAUGUAACGGUACUGAACGGAGGAUGUACUUUUAAUAUAACGUCUGUGAAUGUAUUUUGUCAUAUUUACAUACGAUUUUACAUUAUCUGAACUUUGAGGCGUUAACAGACGGUUAUGAUCACGGUUACGCUCAUGUGAAUUUGUCUUUUUUUUCGCGGUUAAACUGAAUGUAUGUUUGUCUCCUAAAGGAAACGGCAUUGUGUAGUAAAGACUAGCAUAAUUAUUUUGAGGCUGUUGAAGUGGUAACUGUUAAAAGUAUGUUUUACAUGUAAUAUUUCAGACUUGUCAAGCUUGUGUCUUCAUUGUCCUCGCGCUGAGAGUUAAAGACACAGAAGCUGUUUGUGUGAGGAGUCACAGACCUGUGUGAGGAUGAGGUGUUCUUCUGAAGAGAGAGACAGACGGUUUAAGGAGAGUAAACUUCAGAAUAACAUCAAGUUAUCUUUAUUUUUACUAAGACUAAAAUAAUGUUGUUUUUUUAGAUGUUGCAAUCCAGAGACAAGAUAACUUCAUUCUUUUGAGACUGAUAACUCAAACUAAGUUAAGGACACAGAAGUCUGCUUGUGUGAGGAGAUGUUAAAAGCAAGAGACAUGGGAGAGCAUCAUUCCUUUGAGAUUUUAUAAAUCAAACCAACUUUGGAGUUGUCUGAUUUGGAGAGUCAUUAUUCUUGGUCUUCGCUCUUAGAGGCCACUGAUGAAGAACAGGCGGUGACUGGGAUGUAUCCUGGUCAGAGAGGAGAAUCUUCUUUCCCCUAAACUGAUGCAGCGGUGGUUUUAAAGAAGGACGCUGCCCUGGAUGAUGUAGAAGAUGUCACAUGCUGUGCUGAUGGGGUUUCUUCAUGAUUACGUCAGUUAUGCUAAAGAGAUCAUGAAAAUUGACCGUGAUGCAUGAUCUUUAUUCAUGGACUAUGAAACAAACUGUAAGUGUAUAAUUUGUUAAAAAAAAAGCUUUUUCUGUGUUGUUUAGUAGAAGAGUUUACACACUGUCAUUCAUACACCUGCUCACAUUCUUUCACACACACACACACACACACACACAUGCGUCUGUUAAAUGUUAUAAUAUCAAAGUUAAUGUUGUGAUUUAUUUGUGUACUGUCAUGCCAGAAUAGUUGGAAAAAAACCCUAACUAAUUGUAAAUUUAUUGUAUGUGUUUUCGUAUAUUUUUAUACAAUAUAUACAAUUGAACAAAGUCCAAUUUGAUCUUAAGUUAUAUUCAUCAAAUGUUCAAUGCUUUGUUUAUGAACUCUGUAGCUGUUAAUGCCAUCCUUUUCUGCAUUUCUUCUAACAUGUUACUUUUUGACUUUUCUCCUGUUUUUAAUAAAUAUUUUCCUUUUGAUAAUUAUUUGUGUGUAAAAGUGAUAUUUAAAAUGAACAACAUAUGUAGGUUUAAUGCCUAGCUCAAUUUGGGUUAAUUUUAACGUAGAAAUGCAUUGUUUCCCCACAUGGCUACACUGCGAGUUUAUUUUCUGCCAGCAGGAGGCGCUAAGAGCGGGAGAGGUAGGUUUCUCCGGUAACGGCUGCAGAGCGGUGCUGAGCUCACAAACGCUGCCUUAUCAAGCACAUGCGAAAUGAUAUCGAACAUUUUCUAAAUACAGUAGUUUUCCUUCUGAAAUACAGUGAUAAAAAACACCCGCUCUGGUUUUUGAAACCCUGCAAUAUAGUCAUUUUAAACCAUAAAAAAAGGCA